rnacentral:rRNA from 1 species
UACGGGGGGGGUAAGCGUUGUUCGGAAUUACUGGGCGUAAGGGCUCGUAGGCGGCCAACUAAGUCAUACGUGAAAUCCCUCAGCUUAACUGGGGAACUGCGUGUGAUACUGGAUGGCUUGGAUUUGGGAGAGGGAUGCGGAAUUCCAGGUGUAGCGGUGAAAUGCGUAGAUAUCUGGAGGAACACCGGUGGCGAAGGCGGCAUCCUGGACCAAUAUUGACGCUGAGGAGGCGGAAAACCAGGGGAGCCAAAGCGGGAUUAAG